UGCAUUCCUUUCAUGCCUGCAUGAAUUUUAGUAUUGUUUAUGACAUAGUUUUCAUUUACAGUAUUGCUUAUUUGUAUUGAAGAUUCUCACUGAUACAUCUUUUGGCAGUACUUGCAGUGCUCAAUCCACUGUAGAAAACGAUGCCAGUGAACCAUGUGCUGCUGGUUUUCCUGAAAGUUCAGUCAGUGCCCAUUUACGAAGGUCAACCAAACAAUAUACACGUGGGCUCAUGCUUCGGAUAGCUACCCAGCUCCCAAUAUCCUCGAGUCGUCCCCAACAUUGGACAAAUCUUUCACCUUCAAGUACGGUGUCGUUUUCGUGGAUCCGCUUGGACACUGUGAUAUCCUCAGACUUCCACAUCGGAACAACGCUUGUGAAGUCUGGAGCCAACAAAUCGAUCAGGUCACCGAGCUGUGCCACUUCGUAUUUGACCUACUUUGUAGACCUGAAAAACACAUUGUCUACAAUGAAGAAUAUUGCGAAGGGAAGUAAAAACCAUGGAAGUUUGUCUGUUCUUGAAAGAAUAGUGAUAAGCUGCACUUUUUUUAUACCAUCUUGCGGGAAAAGGUAGCGAGAAAAGAUGUGUAUUUUUAAGGUCCAUAUAAUAUCUAAGCAGCACAAUACGAGCUAAGUGCAGCAUAUAUUAUAAUGACACAAAAAAAAAAGUGAAUCAUGCAUCACACGAAGGGACAGGUGCUGUGCGCUAAGCUCAGUCGUGUUCAUUUCAUGUACUUUCCUCUAAUAUUUAGUUUUUAGUCAGCACCCAUGCGUUACUUUGUCCCGUUCCUCUCGCGGUACGCUAUGACAUGAAUAUGUACGAACCCACCCAGCAUUCUAAGUUACUUAAAACUGGAUAUUUUAUACGUAUCAAAACACAGCUAUACUGCCAUGAACGUGUUCGUAAUCCAAGGUGCAUCAUCUCGCUUCCAUACGCUAAGUUGAAGGCGAGUUUACACAAAUGUGUUUAAGUUUAGCGCUUAAGCCCAUCUCUCCGUCUGUGCGCGUAGUAAUUAAUUUUUUUUUGUGGUGCACUGAUACUCGUCACAGUCGUAGAAAACCAA